rnacentral:rRNA from 1 species
GUGACCCUACGGGGCGCAGCAGUAGGGAAUCUUCCACAAUGGACGAAAGUCUGAUGGAGCAACGCCGCGUGAGUGAAGAAGGGUUUCGGCUCGUAAAGCUCUGUUGGUAGUGAAGAAAGAUAGAGUAGUAACUGGCCUUUAUUUGACGGUAAUUACUUAGAAAGUCACGGCUAACUACGUGCCAGCAGCCGCGGUAAUACGUAGGUGGCAAGCGCUGUCCGGAUUUAUUGGGCGUAAAGCGAGUGCCGGCGGGUCAAUAAAGCUGAUGUGAAAGCCUUCGGCUCCAACGGAGAAUUGCAUCAGGA